rnacentral:lncRNA from 12 species
AUGGCAGAGAUGGCCACGAAUCCCUUUUCUCCUGGUGGGCCCUUGUCUCUCUGCGAUGUGACUUUGCCCUCUUCACAUCAAGAGACAGGGUCCCUUCAGCCUGGACUCAGGACUAACCUUGCGCAUUGCCUGGGUGCGUGUGCCGGGCCCGGACCUCUCUCACUGCCCUGCAGACCCUCUGCCCUUGAGGAGGCACGGCCUUGCCACCAGAGCUGCUGGAGCAUCUUGAUGUCAGGCCCCAGGAAGGCGGUCCUCGGUCCUCCUGCCUCUGAGCACACAUCCACCCGCUGCAUUGCUGUGGUCUGGAGUAGGAGAAGGGGAGGCCCCGGGUCACCUGCUGUCCUGACAUCGCGGCUGUUCCACUAAGCUCAUCCUCACUUCCUGUCUGAAGAAGUCAGUCAAACCCCUUGUCUGGAGAUGUCUUCCUCUGGCCCUCUUUGUCAUGUGGGGUGGAUGUGCUGCAGGAGCCGCUGGCAGGUGGCUCACUGACGGAGGAGCGGUGUGCACAGUGCCCAGGUACCAGGCUGGACCCAUGUGGCCCUGGCCCCAGGAGGCCCCUCUGUGUUUCUAGGGUGGCAGUGGCAUCUCUGCAGCCCGUAACAACAGGUUUUGCCGAGGAUGAGCUGGGAAGGAGGCUCCUCGAGCUCAGCUCAGGCAUCAGUCCCCCCACCCCCCAAACUACCACCCCCCAAACUGCCCAGCCACCAGAGGGAGGAAGGAGCCUCUCUCCCACAAUCCUGCUUCGGAAUCUCAUGAGUCAGGAUGUGCUCAGUUCAGAGUACCCUUCUGGGGGCAAUUCCAGCUUAGAGCUCAGGGAGGCUUCUUGGAAGACCUUGGAGGCAAGGCAGCCAUGGAGAAGGAGUCCAGGCAAAGGCCCCCGGUGGCUGCUUUGUGGCUGCUUUGGGGGACGGACGGGGGGGUGCGGGGGGCCCAGGUGGGAGCUGUGUCCCUCAGUGUCCAGCCUACCAGGUGCCAGCAGGUGCUCAGGAAUGUUAAGUGGGGGACAGAGAAGAGGUCCUCAUGGACACUGGUGAUCCCAGCAAUGACCGUGGCUGUCACGUACAGAAAUGUGACUGUAGGUGGCAUCCUCAUGAUCUCACUGUGGGCACCCUGGCUAGGCUGUCAGACCCAGAGGCAGUGGCAAUCCCUGGAGUGGGUUUGAGAAGGUCUCGGAGCACCCUGAUGACACAGGAGCUCUGGCUCUGCCUGUGACCCUGAGGCACCUCCCUUCCCAGCCUGGGGACCCCUUCCCUGAGGCACCCGUACCUUUACUCAGGCUGUGCCUCUGCUCACCGGAGGCUCAAAGCCUCGCCCUGCAGACCCCAACUCCCUGAAACCUUUCUCACCUCCUCCCUGUGGUCCUGGCAAUGUGGCCCUGAGCCGGAGAACACGUAAGUGCUGGGGGUGCUCUCAGGGGGAGAUCCACAGUUGUGAGAGCGUUCCCAUGAAUGGGGACAGAUAUGCUAAUGUGCUCAAGGAGCCCUGCAAGUCAGUGUCCUGGAUUCGGGGGUGGGGGUUCUGCGCCUUGUCUGGGCUUCAGGAAUGCCCCCAGGAGGGUGGCUCCGGUACUGGCCGGAAUUCCUGUCCACGGGCGGGAAGUGUGGCUCUCGUGCAUUGUAGCGAGUACCAGGCCGCGGCCCCUGUUGCCAGGCAGCGCACCUCCCUGGACGCCAGUUGCCAUGGCAGCCGCUUCCUGCCCAAAUUGCCAUGAUGCCCAAUGGCCUCAGGGAGCCUGGAGCCUGCGAGCAAGGGUUGGCUAGGGAGGAAGAGGAGGUGUGGGGUUCCCUGCCCUUCCUGCAUGGACUCGCUGUGACUUCAGCAUUCAAUGCCCCACGUCCAUAUCAAAAGGUGGGAAAGAGGCCUGGAGCAGAUGGAACUCGGGGUACCUAGGGCCAGCUCAGCGCCUCGGGAAGAGCCCCAUCUCUCUUCUAACCCGGGCUCCUGGCCCAAAGCCUCCCUCUCCAGGCCUCAGAGCCACCCUACUUGUCCCUCAGGCUCCGCGGGCUUCCUGAAGCAGCCCAGGCUGGGGGUUACCCUCUUACCUGGGGCAUCAGGUCACUUUGAGCCCCUCCUUUCCUUCCCAUGGCCUGGGAGGAGGUGAGUUCUCCUUUGCUCUGAGUGUGUCACAGAGGGUGGCCCGUGGCUGGGGUCCCACGCAGCUCCAAGGGUGGUCUUGCACUGGGUGUGGUUGUGUGAGGGGUGGGCAGCCUGGGGAAUGACCGCCCACCCCGGGGCCGGCAGGUACACUCCAGGCACGGGCACACAGGUUGCUGAGAGAGAGGUGCCUCCCCUCCCUUCUCCAACCUGUGGGGGCAGCCUUGCUGGACAUAGAACAGACUGGGGGCAGGCCCUAGGAUGGGGGUGCAGGGGAAGGGCGGGAAGGGCAGGGAGGGCACGGCGGGGGAGCCUAUGAAGCCCUCCUAGGGUGCUCCCAUUUCAAAAGCCUACUCUUAGGGGUGGAAGGGGAUGCUCCUGUGUCUGUCUUGUCCCUGGGCGGCCGCAGGCCAUUUGUCUUCCCUUCCAGGGUGACUCUCUGGACACCCACUGCUCACAUUUUUUAUUUAAGAAUCAGAGGGAUAAUAAGAAUGUCAAGGAAAAUCCUCUCAGGGAUGCACAGCCCCAAUAAAUUACUAUCAGCCAAGGCA